rnacentral:lncRNA from 1 species
UUUGUCUCCAUGUUAUUUGUUCUCUAAAGUAUUGGAUUAUAAAUGUGUACUGUGGCAGCUGUCUGGAAAAUUCAAAAGUGAAGACGUAGUUGUGUUUUCUGUUUGUUUGUUUUGUUUUAUUUUAUUUUAUUUAUUUUUUAAGACUGGGUUUCUCUGUGGCUUUCGAGGAUGUCUGGAACUAGAACUUCAGACCAGGCUGCUCUCAAACUUACAGAAAUCAACCAGCCUCUGCAUCCUGAGUGCUGGGAUUAAAGUCAUAUGCCACCACACCAUACUUGAAGGGAUAGUUGUUAACAUGGAUAUUCAAAUUGAUAAGAUCUUGAUUCAGCGAAGGGACACUUCGAUCAUAUUAUUCUCUGGGAACCCUGACAAUUUUGGAAUUUGCAAGGAUAUUUCUGCCUUAAAGACUUGACUGAAAAUGCACGACUGAAGGGCUCCUGGAGAGAUGCUGACUCUGUCACAGAUUUGAAACCCCUUCAGAGAGGUUGUGAGAGGAUACAUCUUGCAGUGGACACCUGAAAUUGU